GAUGAACGCUGGCGGCGUGCUUAACACAUGCAAGUCGAACGGAAAGGCCAUGCUUUUGUGGGGUGCACGAGAGGCGAACGGGUGAGUAAAACGUGAGUAACCUGCCCUUGACUUUGGGAUAACUUCAGGAAACUGGGGCUAAUACCGGAUAGGAGCUCCUGCUGCAUGGUGGGGGUUGGAAAGUUACGGCGGUUGGGGAUGGACUAGCGGCUUAUCAGCUUGUUGGUGGGGUAGUGGCUUACAAAGGCUUUGACGGGUAGCCGGCCUGAGAGGGUGACCGGCCACAUUGGGACUGAGAUACGGCCCAGACUCCUACGGGAGGCAGCAGUGGGGAAUAUUGCACAAUGGGCGGAAGCCUGAUGCAGCAACGCCGCGUGCGGGAUGACGUCCUUCGGGUUGUAAACCGCUUUCUCCUGUGACGAAGCGUGAGUGACGGUAAUGGGUAAAGAAGCACCGGCUAACUACGUG
rnacentral:rRNA from 1 species